UGCUCCUUGCUUCUUUGGCUGUAUUUCCGGAUUGGAGACUUGGUCUCCUGGGUUUCUUUUGAAACUUAGUAGGGAGUAGUUGGGUGGACAAAAACUAAUAUGCUCCAUUAAAAAUCAAUAGCUUCCUUUUUAGCUCUGUCAUUUGAUUACCUGAGUAAAGUGUACUUUUACCUGUUUGUCUCCAAAAGAGUGAGGGAAUCAGCAGGGAGUUUCAGACGUCAUUUCUGUGGUAAUAAGUGGAGCUUAGAUGAAAUGGCACCAUAUUAUGACUACAGCAGAUGGCCCAUUUUGAAACUUGCGUUGAGGAGGCUGCAGAAGUGUUGAAUGCUGAGGUAUACCCCUAUGUUUUCAUCCGAUUGCUUUCUGCUAUCAUAGGAAUGGGACGCGAGAGAUAAAGAUUCUAUCCGACGAGUAGUACAACACAGCAAUGUGGUCAUCAAUCUUAUUGGACGAGACUGGGAAACCAGAAACUUUGAUUUUGAGGAUGUUUUUGUGAAGAUUCCCCAAGCAAUUGCUCAACUGUCCAAGGAAGCUGGAGUUGAAAAAUUCAUUCAUGUUUCACAUCUGAAUGCGAAUAUUAAAAGCUCUUCUAGAUAUUUGAGAAAUAAGGUAUGCAUCGGUUUGGUCCUACACCCCUUGGUUCCUUGGGCUGGAAGACAGUUAAACAACCAGUAUAUGUCGUAGAUGUAUCCAAAGGAAUUGUUAAUGCAGUUAAGGAUCCUGAUGCCAAUGGGAAAUCCUUUGCUUUCGUUGGUCCCAAUCGGUACCUUCUCUUUCACCUGGUGAAGUACAUCUUUGCUGUGGCUCACAGAUUGUUCCUCCCAUUCCCCUUGCCACUUUUUGCCUAUCGGUAAGUA
rnacentral:sRNA from 1 species